AGUGAACGCUGGCGGUAGGCCUAACACAUGCAAGUCGAACGGCAGCACAGUAAGAGCUUGCUCUUACGGGUGGCGAGUGGCGGACGGGUGAGGAAUACAUCGGAAUCUACUUUUUCGUGGGGGAUAACGUAGGGAAACUUACGCUAAUACCGCAUACGACCUACGGGUGAAAGCAGGGGAUCUUCGGACCUUGCGCGAUUGAAUGAGCCGAUGUCGGAUUAGCCAGUUGGCGGGGUAAAGGCCCACCAAGGCGACGAUCCGUAGCUGGUCUGAGAGGGUGAUCAGCCACACUGGAACUGAGACACGGUCCAGACUCCUACGGGAGGCAGCAGUGGGGAAUAUUGGACAAUGGGCGCAAGCCUGAUCCAGCCAUACCGCGUGGGUGAAGAAGGCCUUCGGGUUGUAAAGCCCUUUUGUUGGGAAAGAAAAGCAGCAGGUUAAUACCCCGCUGUUCUGACGGUACCCAAAGAAUAAGCACCGGCUAACUUCGUG
rnacentral:rRNA from 1 species